rnacentral:rRNA from 1 species
UUUCAUCGCAGGCGCGCGGCGAUCGCGUGACGGGGGCGUUCGCGCUUUCCGCACCUUUCGUCGUGUUCGAUCCGGCGGCGAACGCGUGCACUUUUCUCCUGGUAGGACGUCGCGAUCCGUUGGGUGUCGGUCUAAGGUUGAUACGGUGGAGCCCGUGAGCGCGACCUCGUGUCGUCGUUCGCGGACCCGUUCUUUCCCGGCCGACUCGCUCGACGGUAUACGAAAGGUUUAAGGCCGCUCUUUGAGCGUUCGACCCGCGACAAGCGCGCCAGCAGCCGUUGGCUAUCGGACCUAGCGCCGGUACCGACCUCUGGUGACUGUUGGUCGUGGUGUUCUCGAACCGACCUUUUCAAACCGAUCUGCGACGCUAUAGCUUUGGGUACUUUCAGGACCCGUCUUGAAACACGGACCAAGGAGUCUAGCAUGUGCGCGAGUCAUUGGGAAUUACUAAACCUAAAGGCGUAAUGAAAGUAAAGGUUCGUCUCGCACGGACCGAGGGAAGAUGGGCGAUUUACCCUUAAAAGUGGUCGCUCCGCAUUCCCGGGGCGUCUCGUUCUCAUCGCGAGAAGAGGCGCACCAAGAGCGUACACGCUGGGACCCGAAAGAUGGUGAACUAUGCCUGGUCAGGACGAAGUCAGGGGAAACCCUGAUGGAGGUCCGUAGCGAUUCUGACGUGCAAAUCGAUCGUCGGAACUGGGUAUAGGGGCGAAAGACUAAUCGAACCAUCUAGUAGCU